rnacentral:rRNA from 1 species
UUAACACAUGCAAGUCGAACGGAAAGGCCCUGCUUUUGUGGGGUGCUCGAGUGGCGAACGGGUGAGUAACACGUGAGUAACCUGCCCUUGACUUUGGGAUAACUUCAGGAAACUGGGGCUAAUACCGGAUAGGAGCUCCUGCUGCAUGGUGGGGGUUGGAAAGUUUCGGCGGUUGGGGAUGGACUCGCGGCUUAUCAGCUUGUUGGUGGGGUAGUGGCUUACCAAGGCUUUGACGGGUAGCCGGCCUGAGAGGGUGACCGGCCACAUUGGGACUGAGAUACGGCCCAGACUCCUACGGGAGGCAGCAGUGGGGAAUAUUGCACAAUGGGCGGAAGCCUGAUGCAGCAACGCCGCGUGCGGGAUGACGGCCUUCGGGUUGUAAACCGCUUUCGCCUGUGACGAAGCGUGAGUGACGGUAAUGGGUAAAGAAGCACCGGCUAACUACGUGCCAGCAGCCGCGGUGAUACGUAGGGUGCGAGCGUUGUCCGGAUUUAUUGGGCGUAAAGGGCUCGUAGGUGGUUGAUCGCGUCGGAAGUGUAAUCUUGGGGCUUAACCCUGAGCGUGCUUUCGAUACGGGUUGACUUGAGGAAGGUAGGGGAGAAUGGAAUUCCUGGUGGAGCGGUGGAAUGCGCAGAUAUCAGGAGGAACACCAGUGGCGAAGGCGGUUCUCUGGGCCUUUCCUGACGCUGAGGAGCGAAAGCGUGGGGAGCGAACAGGCUUAGAUACCCUGGUAGUCCACGCUGUAAACGGUGGGUACUAGGUGUGGGGUCCAUUCCACGGGUUCCGUGCCGUAGCUAACGCUUUAAGUACCCCGCCUGGGGAGUACGGCCGCAAGGCUAAAACUCAAAGGAAUUGACGGGGCCCCGCACAAGCGGCGGAGCAUGCGGAUUAAUUCGAUGCAACGCGUAGAACCUUACCUGGGUUUGACAUGGAUCGGGAGUGCUCAGAGAUGGGUGUGCCUCUUUUGGGGUCGGUUCACAGGUGGUGCAUGGCUGUCGUCAGCUCGUGUCGUGAGAUGUUGGGUUAAGUCCCGCAACGAGCGCAACCCUUGUUCACUGUUGCCAGCACGUUAUGGUGGGGACUCAGUGGAGACCGCCGGGGUCAACUCGGAGGAAGGUGGGGAUGACGUCAAGUCAUCAUGCCCCUUAUGUCCAGGGCUUCACGCAUGCUACAAUGGCUGGUACAGAGAGUGGCGAGCCUGUGAGGGUGAGCGAAUCUCGGAAAGCCGGUCUCAGUUCGGAUUGGGGUCUGCAACUCGACCUCAUGAAGUCGGAGUCGCUAGUAAUCGCAGAUCAGCAACGCUGCGGUGAAUACGUUCCCGGGGCUUGUACACACCGCCCGUCAAGUCAUGAAAGUUGGUAACACCCGAAGCCGGUGGCCUAACCGUUGUGGGGGAGCCGUCGAAGGUGGGACUGGUGAUUAGGACUAAGA